AUGGAAUUAGCUAAAGCCGCUGUCCGUAGGCUGUCGAUCUACGAUGGUCUGGGACAGUUCCCACUUGAAAAAGACAUCAGGGAGUACUUGGCGUGCCUCAUUGUGAUGGUAUGUGAGUCCGCACGUAUGUUUCCAUACCGUCGCACGGUCCACAACGGUUGGGGGCUGUGGUCCGAUCGAAUUGUAGAUGGGGAGGUAGACUUCAUAUGGAACUGGGGGAGAAUGUCAGGCAUGCUGUUAGACUGCUGGAGGAAAUCCAACAGCCAAUUGAGGAAAAUCGGGAUCAAUGAUAGAGAAGCCGCACUCGCUGUCGUUCACCUGCUGCGUAACUCAGCGCCAGCUCCUCCACGCGGUGCCGGCAGCCAAGGCCAACAGUCGCAAACGCCAGCUGCGGGCUCUAGCAAACAAGAGCCGCAAACAGAGCAGUCGUGGUUUGAGAAGCCUAGCCAACCCAAGGCGCAGGCGCAGCAACAGCAAGCGACGUCCAUGGACGGUCAGCGAGGCAAAACGCUGGCGGAGGUGUUCCGCGUGAGUGCUAACAUCCAUCUCGUCAGUAGCAUCACCGUCUCUGACGGGAAACGGAGACAGAUCAUCUACAGGAAAAACCAAGGGCAUGGAUCUGGUGCCUCCAGUUCCGUGGACGACUCACAAUCGGAACUCAAUGCUUUGGUGCUCACUGGACCAUACAAAGCUAUCUCGGCGGAUGGAAGCUUCGUCCUUCAAGUUGAUACCAGUACCAGUGCAACUGCGACAGCUGAUCCAUCCAGGGACCAAUCUAGGAAUGUUGGUGCGGCCAUGUUCUGGGAUGGCUAUGCUGAAUACACACGGUGUAACCAGGUCUUGACGCACAACUUCACCAGGGCCCCCCACCACAACAUAGAGGUCACCUAUGCGGUGCUGACUAAUGCCGUGGAGGCCCAAGUCAAGGUUAUCCUGUUCAGCAACAAGAUCCCCGGUUCGACAACGGCAAACCCUGCCCGGGUCUAUGGUAAAAUCACCACACGCCUCGAGGGCAUGGAUGCUGAGAGUGUGCUCUUUAGCCGCGAACGGGAGGAGAAAGUGGAGGUCCAUCAUGAUGCAGUAGCCACUCUUCCACUGGCUCGGUCUAUAGUUGCAGUUCCAUUCGAUUCUAAGAUGAUGGUAACGUUGGAAUUGCAUGCUACAGUAUUUGGCGUGGGGGAUAUACCCAUUCAACAAGCUUCAGAGAUCCACAUUAAAGACGAUUACUUUGCGAUGGGAACGUCUUCCAACUAUGCCACCGUACAAGUGUGGGUCGACCAUUCUCCACUCCUUGCCGGCAGUGCAGAAAGUCAGUUUGUCGACCAUUCUCCACCCCUUACCGGCAGUACAGAAAGGCAGUUUGAGCAUUAA
rnacentral:rRNA from 1 species